CAGGUGAGGCCUCCGGAGUACGUGCUCCUUGGUACCUGGCUGCGGCUGGACCUUGAGCCCGGGGAGAAGCGAGGCACACGUUCUAUGACCAUGGGACGUCUCAAAAUAGGACUUAAGAGCCACAGUGACUUUGCUUCUUGAAAAGUAACUGGGCGGGGGGAAGGGUACGUGGAGAAAAAGAAUGUGUGCGGGCGGGAGGCGACCAAAAUCAGAAAGAGGUCCUCGGAGGGAGACUGAAGAAGAUUCCACGUUCCUUGAUAGCAAGACUCCAUUAUUUUUGUAUGUCAAAGUUUUUGACAGAGCCUGUCAUUUCACUCAUUUAUCCUCUCCAUAAAAUUUAUGAAAGAAAGGGUGGAUCCUAUGCAGGAAGGAAGACAUAAGAAAUUGCUGGAGUGCGAUUUCAGAAGAGAAGUAUGGUCUACUUAUUGAUGCCAUCAGAUAUAAAAUUAAGAGAAAGAAAGGUUCUACAAGUGAACUGGACAGAAGAUGUAUAUGUUGAGGCAGAUAUAGAACUCUAAGUUAUGGAGAAAGUCUCUACCAUUUGACCCUAUUCUCACUUCACUAUUCCUUCUGUGAAAUAACACAAGUUUUGGAAAUGAAAUUUUUAAGAAGCAUUAUUUUUACUGAUAGACCAGACUAAUCCUGUAGGUCACACAGAGUAAGAACCAAUUAUGAAUGUGUCCACUUUGUUCCCUUUCCACCAACAUCACUCUGGUCCCAUAUGCCAUCCUUUCUUGCUGAACAACCAUGGUUAGCUUCUAAGUUCAUCCACUUUUUUCUUGAAUGUAGUGUACAAGCCAGGAACCGAAGUGACAUCUUUGACACUUCCUUUCUGCACACCUUCCUUCUGAUCAGCCAGUGUAUCACACGGAGCCUACCCUCAGCACUGUGGUUUUUUAAUAAAUGUAAAUCAUAUCAAGUUACUCCAAAUAUUGGAAAGCUAAAUACUUCAUUUAGGUUACCUUUCUAUCAUCUUUGAAUAAAAUUCUAUAGGAAAGAUCUGCAUGAACUGUCCUCUAUCUGUUCUUCCAGUUGCUCACUGUACUGGGAACUGUCACCCUCUGUUUGAUCCUCAGACACUCUAGCUUUCUUUUCUCUUCUUUACCUUUGUACUCUGCUAUCCUCUCUGCCUGAAAUAACUUACCUACUCACAUGGCUGCUCAU